AUUGAACGCUGGCGGCAGGCCUAACACAUGCAAGUCGAACGAGCGGCGGACGGGUGAGUAAUUUCUGGGACACUGCCCGAUGGAGGGGGAUAACUACUGGAAACGGUAGCUAAUACCGCAUACCAUCGGAUGUGCCCAUAUGGGAUUAGCUAGUAGGUAGGGUAACGGCUAACAUAGGCGACGAUCCCUAGCUGGUCUGAGAGGAGGACCAGCCACACUGGAACUGAGACACGGUCCAGACUCCGACGGGAGGCAGCAGUGGGGAAUAUUGCACAAUGGGCGCAAGCCUGAUGCAGCCAUGCCGCGUGUAUGAAGAAGGCCUUCGGGUUGUAAAGUACUUUCAGCGAGGAGGCGUUACUCGCAGAAGAAGCACCGGCUAACUCCGUGCCAGCAGCCGCGGUAAUUC
rnacentral:rRNA from 1 species